GCUGCACACAGCUGAGGCCGCUCAUACAGGAGUUCUGCCAGCUGCCAUUCCAGGGCGUCCGGGCCCAGCUCGCAGGUGUGAAGGCGUCCCAUUGGUCAGAGGAGGCCACCAUGGUGUUCCGGAACCACGUGGAGAAGAAGCCGCUGGUGGCCCAGCUGGAGUGCGUGUCGGACGGCGAGUCGUCGCCAUGGGAACGCAAGGUGACGGUCUACCUGGUGGACACGUCGCAGGAGGAGCGCGACCUGUGGGUUCACGACAUCAUGGCCGAGUUCACCGACCAGCUCACCAAGGCCGCCUAGCCUAGCCUAGCGACCGUCGCCGCGGUAACCUAACCGCUGCCAAAGACAUGGCCGCCGGAGCAGCCAGAGUUGUUAUGUUUGCUAAAAGGGGGUUGUUGUUGUUAGCGUAUCGUUAGCUAGCUAGCGAGCGACGGCUAGCCGGGAAUGAAAAAGCUCUUAUUCUCUCACAUGAUGAUGAUGAUGACGAUGGGUGCGUAAAGUUGUUACGUUACGUUAUGUCGUGUCGUGUGUAUGAGUGAGUUGUGUGUGUCGGGUGGGAAGCCAGCGCCGGGUGUGUGAUGACGAUGUUGUUGGGGAGGGGUCUGUGGGGUGGAAGCAACAUCACGUCAGUCGGAAUGAAACACAGGUGGGCUUGGUUUCCAUGGGGACUCAAGAGAUUAAAUGACCGCUGACGACCUUGGAGCAAAGGUCAAGGUCAGCCAGGACGAAUGUGAAAGACUGGACACGCAGGGCUGACAUUUGGAUGGGAUGAGACUUUAGUUUUGACGUUUUGACUUAACGUUGGUUUUAGUUGUUUGGACCCGGUAGCCAGCCCACCUGGGAAGAGGGAGGAGGACGUGAGGAGGAAAUGAUGUCAGAGGAGACAGGAAGUGAUGCGCUACAGCAUGUGUCUGAUUGGCUGGCUCACAGGAAGGAAGUUUCAAGGCUACGGAAUGCUAAAACAGGAAGUAUGUCAGUUUUAUCUGCAGCUUGGGUCGAAACAUGCACCCCCGUACCUGUGCUUCCGUCUACGUUGACAAAAGAUGGCUCUCUUGCAUCUGAUACGGCUUUAAAGUCACGCACAGCUCUUUCAAAUGAAUAAAACAAACAUCACUAUUUGUCGUUUUGCAAGCCGAGAGGUGUCAUUGUGAAGUCACGAGCAGUGAAGGGCAAAAUGGAUUCAUUACUUUGCAAUCCAGUGCCACAUAUUCCAAAUGACCUGGUUAUAUCUGUCCAUUCCAGCCAGGUGAUUGGCUAGUUGAGUGGUCACCUGGUUGAAAUGGACAUGUAGAACAAGACCGUGCGGAAUAUGCGGCACUGGGUCGUAACCUCAUGGAUCCAUGUUGCCCUUCACUGCUGAGUUGGGAAGUGAAAUGGUUAAAUGGGUUCGGAGCCCAGCCCCUGCUGUGUUCCCCAGUCGCCAUGACAACAGAGGGGAACUAUGGGAUGUGUAAUGACGUGAGUACGGCACGGUAUCAUGGCGCCUGCUCCACAGUCCACCAGGACUUUGUAACAAGUUUGUUUACAAGAAAACAAAAAUAGUUUUUAAAAAGUUCAAGCAUUUAUAAAGAAUUUAAAAAGAAAGAAAAAGUUCCAAUUCCAAUACGUCUUGUUGUCUUAUCUCGGCUUUCUUUUCUUUUUCUCUUGCUGCUGCAGUGUGUAGCAGCCACCGUAGUUCUGCCAGAGAGCACGGGAGAGCGGUGAUCGUUUGCUUUGGACUUCCUUUAGUUGUUUAUAUAUAUAUAGUUCUCAUCGUUUGAUUUAGUCUCCUUAGUCAGAGCCGGGGUUCAGGGUGAAAUGCUACAUCAGCUGUGUGUGUGUGAGGCGGGGGGGGAAGCCCAGGAUAGUUUUAAGUUUUUGAUGAUGAUGAUGAUAAUAAUCAUAUGAUUGAAUUAAAUUUGACAUCACACACACACACACACACACACCAUUAACACUUGACAUUUGUGUGUAUCGCUGGAACCAGGAAGAGAAUAAGAGAAUAAAUAAAGUUAUUUGGAAACCA